ACGGUAGAAAGCGCUCCACGGAGCUUGCGCCGCCACAAAUCUGUGAGCGGAGGAUGGCCAACUUGAGCCGCAUCUGCCAGCGGAAGGUUUGGCGCGCUCCAAAUCUGCGAGCGCGGAAUUCACCAUAAGACGCUUAAACACGAACGAGACGCGGCGCCUGUCCAAGGAAUGCUUCGGGAACAGGGUGGCAGUCUUCGACUUCAUGGUGGCCUGUGCGGAGCCCAUGGCGCUGGGGAAGUUCAUCACCUGCACCAUAGAGGCGGUCUUCAAGUCUGCG